GACGAACGCUGGCGGCGUGCUUAACACAUGCAAGUCGAACGGAAAGGCCCUGCUCUUGUGGGGUGCUCGAGUGGCGAACGGGUGAGUAACACGUGAGUAACCUGCCCUUGACUUUGGGAUAACUUCAGGAAACUGGGGCUCAUACCGGAUAGGAGCUCCUGCUGCAUGGUGGGGGUGGGAAAGUUUCGGCGUUUGGGGAUGGACUCGCGGCUUAUCAGCUUGUUGGUGGGGUAGUGGCUUACAAAGGCGAUGAUGGGUAGCCGGAUUGUGAGGGAGACAGGGCACAUAGUGACAGGGGAAGGAGCAGGAGGGAAACGGGAGGCAGGGGUGAGAGUCAUUGCAAGCAGGGCGGCGGCCUGAAGGAGGGUCGUCGGGUGGUGGAUCACGGCUGGUAGGGUGGAAAGCGGGUGAGAGUGGGAAGAAGAGUGAGUGACGGUAACGGGUAAGGAAGCGCCGGCUAACUACGUG
rnacentral:rRNA from 1 species